UACGGGGGGGGCAAGCGUUGUUCGGAAUUACUGGGCGUAAAGGGCGCGUAGGCGGCCAGGUAGGUCUGCUGUGAAAACUCGAGGCUCAACCUCGAGACGUCGGCGGAAACCAUCUGGCUAGAGUCCGGAAGAGGAGAGUGGAAUUCCUGGUGUAGCGGUGAAAUGCGCAGAUAUCAGGAAGAACACCCGUGGCGAAGGCGGCUCUCUGGGACGGUACUGACGCUGAGACGCGAAAGCGUGGGGAGCGAACAGG
rnacentral:rRNA from 1 species